CUGCAGGUCUGUUGGAGUACCCUGCCGUGUGAGGUGUCAGUGUGCACCUGCUGGGGGGUGCCUCCCAGUUAGGCUGCUCGGGGGUCAGGGGUCAGGGACCCACUUGAGGAGGCAGUCUGCCCGUUCUCAGAUCUCCAGCUGCGUGCUGGGAGAACCACUGCUCUCUUUAAAGCUGUCAGAUGGGGACAUUUAAGUCUGCAGAGGUUACUGCUGUCUUUUUGUUUGUCUGUGCCCUGCCCCCAGAGGUGGAGCCUACAGAGGCAGGCAGGCCUCCUUGAGCUGUGGUGGGCUCCACCCAGUUCGAGCUUCCCGGCUGCUUUGUUUACCUAAUCAAGCCUGGGCAAUGGCGGGCGCCCCUCCCCCAGCCUCACUGCCGCCUUGCAGUUUGAUCUCAGACUGCUGUGCUAGCAAUCAGCGAGACUCUGUGGGCGUAGGACCCUCCGAGCCAGGUGCCGGAUAUAAUCUCGUGGUGCGCCGUUUUUUAAGCCCGUCGGAAAAGCGCAGUAUUCGGGUGGGAGUGACCCGAUUUUCCAGGUGCCGUCCGUCACCCCUUUCUUUGACUCAGAAAGGGAACUCCCUGACCCCUUGCGCUUCCCAAGAGAGGCAAUGCCUCGCCCUGCUUCAGCUCGCGCACGGUGCGCGCACCCACUGACCUGCGCCCACUGUCUGGCGCUCCCUAGUGAGAUGAACCCGGUACCUCAGAUGGAAAUGCAGAAAUCACCCGUCUUCUGCGUCGCUCACGCUGGGAGCUGUAGACCGGAGCUGUUCCUAUUCGGCCAUCUUGGCUCCUCCUGUAACAAUUUCUUGAGAUGGCUCCUCUUGGAACUAUGCAUCUCUCCUGAUACUUGGAUGCUUUUCCUCUGACUGAUGAAGAUCCUGAAUACCAAAGAGGGCCGCUGACAGGUCCAGGAGUACACUUCUAGCACCUAGCAGAGAGAGGCUUCACUACAUCAUGCUUCCUGACAUCUCUCCGUUUGAAGAGCAGUCAGACUCCUGCUUUGCUCUUCAGACUUAAUUUGGGGGUUUAACAGCCAUGUGAAGUGCUCACUCCCCCUUUGCCUUCUGCCAUGAUUGUAUGUUUCCUGAGGCCUCCCCAGAAGCUGAGAAGAUGCUUCCUGUACAGCCUGCAGAACUGGAUAGCCCAGAGCUAUUCCAUGGAUGGGCACAUUUGGAAGUUUGGUUCUAAAAUCUAAAAGAAGAAAUUUAAGUGUGCUGAAGAUAACUGCAACUCCAAACCUAACGCUGUGUAGUUCUAUGUUCUGCCAUUUUGAAGCAAAGUGGAACCAGAAGUGAGAGGACUAUUUCUAGGUCAUGCUACGGUUACCCUGACCCCAGUCACUCCCUAUGCUGGUCCAUCCAAACUCAGAGCCACGAUCAAGGCCCUUCUACAACACAGAUCUGAUUACUUCACUCUCUUUUGUGGGGUAAAUAUAAGCCAAGAGCCAAGCAGGUGCACUGUGGAGGAGGGGAGAAUGCAAGAAGAAAAAAAGAAAGCCCGCCAGGCGCGGUGGCUCAUGCCUGCAAUCCCAGCACUUUGGGAGGCCAAGGUUUGAAUGAGAGAGGGAGAAGCACAUUUCCAAUCACUGGGGGAACCUGAGACCAUUCUCUCCAACCCAUUUUUCCAAAUGGAUGUCCUGAGGAAGGUGUUCCAAAAGAGGUGAUGUCAGGAUAGUGUCUGAUUGGAGGGUGCCCAAGGCACAUGGGAGAAUGUGGAAGAACUGGAAAGACUUGGGUGUUGCUGAUGUUAAAUUACUUAGGUAUCUCUGUAGAAACUUGGUGGGUCAUUCCUUCUCUUCACAAUCCCUUUCUUAAAUUUAUGAUAAACGUGAAAGGUAAUCAAAACAAAAGCAGGGCAAAAUGGGAAAAAUAAGUUCCCACUUUAACUUUUUCUGGAUUAUUUAAAGGUCUACUGGGGCAAAUGUGAUGAAAAUUAAAAAAAAUAAAAAACAUUGCAGAUCAUCAGUGUUUAAAAGCAAAUGCUUUCUGAAAAUUAUAGCUUGUAUGUUAACAUGAUUUGCUGAAAUCUGUUUUUGUAAUUUAACCAACUUGACUUGUUAGAAUUGAGCUCAGUUGAAGCACCAUAGCAAUUUAGUUAGAUGAUAAGCUACUCUGUUUCUCUGAAGAAAAGAAAAAUGUAGAUAUAGCUCCUAUAUAUAGCUCCUAGCUUUAUAGGAUGAAUUUUUAUCAGUGGGAUUUCUUUGACAAAUUAAAGAACGUCUAUAAAACAAAAAUUCUUAUUUUACACUUAUUUUUCUUCUUACAAUUGUAAUUUAGUUUAUGAAAUAUCAGAUUGGUUUUGGUGGGAAACAGUAGUUUCACCUGUUCUGAAAAACAGCCCUUGGAUUUUUGGCAUAUUCUUAUCUGAUGGGAUAGGUUUCUUUUACUUCAUAUUAAUACAUGUGUGUAGUGUGUGUGUGUGUGUGUGUGUGUGUGUGUGUGUGUGGUGUGUUUCCCUCCUAAUUUAUUCACCUGCCAUAUUUUUUCUCUUCAGAGUAAUAGAAGUUUGUCUGGGACUUCUGUUGGGCACAAGUAAAUUGCUUGUUUUUGAAAUUACUUCAGUGAUGGGUGUGGGUUUUCUCCUUUUUUUUCUUUUUCUUAAUAUUACAAAUUCAAAUUUGUCUCCUGAUUCUUCAGCACUGUUUGGAAAAUCAAGGAAGUAGCUCUGAAAUUUAUUUUAUGCAUUGAUCUUGGAAAUAAAAGUAACUUAGAGCUAGAGCUUUUAGAGCCAGAAAGAAACAGCCUGUGCUAUUGUUGGGUCACAGGGCCCUCAUCAGACAUGCAGGGAAAAUGGAAGCUCAGAAAUGUUGGGUGUGAUUUGUCCAAGCUCACACUGUUCGUUAGUGAGAAAGGUUUCCCCAAACCUGGAUUUGCCAGCUAAGUUUAUAUGUAUUAAGUGAUACUCUUCAAGUUCUCAUAAAAGAAAUUGCAAAAGUUCUUCAAACAUUACUUACAACUAAUUUCAAUCAUAGGCUUUGGAGGGAAUUCACAGGAAGCAGAUGCAGAAACUUUAUAGUUAUUAUACAUAAAAUUAAAAUUGUAGUAGAUUAAUAUGUACCUGAGAAGGCUGAUUUAUCUACUAAGUUACUUAUCCCUCAGAAUAAAAGGCUGUUAUUUCUUGAGUGUUUUUAGUAAAUGGAAAACAAGACCAGCAUAGACCUAUGUUAGCAAAUGUCAGUAUCUGUUAAAUUUCAUCUCUUUCUCAGGAGAAGUAUGAUGCUUCGAUAAAAUUCAACAGCCCUUCAUGCUAAAAACUCUCAAUAAACUGGGUAUUGAAGGAAUAUAUAUCAAAAUAAUAAGAGUAACUUAUGACAAACCCACAGCCAAUAACAUACUGAAUGGGCAAAAACUGGAAGCAUUCUCUUUGAAAACCGGCACAAGACAAGGAUGCCCUCUGACACAACUACUAUUCAACAUAGUAUUGGAAGUUCUGGCCAGGGUGAUCAGUCAAGAGAAAGAAAUAAAGCAUAUUCAAUUAGGAAAAGAAGAAGUCAAAUUGUCUUUGUUUGCAGAUGACAUGAUUGUACAUUUAGAAAACCCCAUCAUCUCAGCCCAAAAUCUCCUUAAGCUGAUAAGCAACUUCAGCAAAGUCUCGGGAUACAAAAUCAAUGUGCAAAAAUCACAAGCAUUCCUAUACACCAAUAACAGACAAACACAGAGCCAAAUCAUGAGUGAACUCCCAUUCACAAUUGCUUCAAAGAGAAUAAAAUAUCUAGGAAUCCAAGUUAGAAGGGAUGUGAAGGACCUUUUCAAGGAGAACUACAAACCACUGCUCAAGGAAAUAAGAGAGGACACAAACAAUGGAAAAACAUUCCAUGCUUAUAGAUAGGAAGAAUCAAUAUCGUGAAAAUGGCCAUACUGCCCAAGGUAAUUUAUAGAUUCAAUGCUAUCCCCAUCAAGCUAUCAUUGACUUUCUUCACAGAAUUGGAAAAAACUACUUUAAAGUUCAUGUGGAACCAAAAAAGAGCCCACAUAGCCAAGACAAUCCUAAGCAAAAAGACAAAGCUGGAGGCAUCAUGCUACCUGACUUCAGACUAUACUACAAGGCCACAGUAACCAAAACAGCAUGGUACUGGUGCAAAAACAGAUAGACCAAUGGAACAGAAAAGAGGCCUCAGAAAUAAUGCCAUACAUCUACAACCAUCUGAUCUUUGACAAACCUGACAAAAACAAGCAAUGGGGAAAGGAUUUCCUAUUUAAUAAAUGGUGUUGGGAAAACUGGCUAGCCAUAUGUAGAAAGCUGAAACUGGAUCCAUUCCUUACACCUUAUCCAAAAAUUAACUAAAGAUGGAUUAAAGACUUAAACGCAAGACCUAAAACCAUAAAAACCCUAGAAGAAAACCUAGGCAAUAUCAUUCAGGACAUAAGCAUGGGCAAAGACUUCAUGACUAAAACACCAAAAGCAAGGGCAACAAAAGCCCAAAUUGACAAACUGGAUCUAAUUAAACUAAAGAGCUUCUGCACAGCAGAACUAUCAUCAGAGUGAAUAGGCAACCUACAGAAUGGGAGAAAAUUUUUGCAAUCUAUCCAUCUGACAAAGGUCUAAUAUCCAGAAUCUAUAAAGAACUUCAACAAAUUUACAAGAAAAAAAACCCAUUAAAAAAUGGGCAAAAGAUAUGAACAGACACUUCUCAAAAGAAGACAUUUAUGCAGCCAACAAACAUAUGAAGAAAAGCUCAUCAUCACUAGUCAUUAGACAAAUGCAAAUCAAAACCACAAUGAGAUACCAUCUCAUGUCAGUUAGAAUGGUGAUCAUUAAAAAGUCAGGAAACAACAGAUGCUAGAGAGGAUGUGGAGAAAUAUGAACACUUUUACACUGUUGGUGGGAAUGUAAAGUAGUUCAAACAUUGUGGAAGACAGUGUGGCAAUUCCUCAAGGAUCUAGAACCAGGAAUACCAUUUGACCCAGCAAUCCCAUUACUGGGUAUACACCCAAAGGAUUAUAAAUCAUUCUACUAUAAAGACACAUGCACAUGUAUGUUUAUUACAGCACUGUUCACAAUAACAAAGACUUGGAACCAACCCAAAUGCUCAUCAAUGAUAGACUGGAUAAAGAAAAUGUGGCAUAUAUACACCAUGGAAUACUAUGCAGCCAUAAAAAAGGAUGAGUUCAUGUCCUUUGCAGGGACAUGGGUGAAGCUGGAAACCAUCAUUCUCAGCAAACUAUCACAAGAACAGAAGACCAAAUACCGCAUGUUCUCACUCAUAAGUGGGACUUGAACAAUGAGAACACAUGGACACAGGGAGGGGAACAUCACAUACCAGGGCCUGUGGCGGGGUAGGGGGCUAGGGGAGGGAUACCAUUAGGAGAAAUGCUAGGGCAAUUAGUCAAGAGAAAGAAAUAAAGGGUAUUCAAUGUAGAUGACGCGUUGAUAGGUGCAGCAAACCACCAUGGCAUGUGUAUACCUGCACAUUCUGCAUGUGUACCCCAAACCUGCACAUUCUGCACAUGUACCCCAAACCUGCACAUUCUGCACAUGUACCCCAGCACUUAAAAGUAUAACUUAAAAAAAAUUAGGACAGGGUGCGGUGGCUCAUGCCUGUAAUCCCAGCACUUUGGGAGGCUGAGGUGGGCAGAUCACUAGGUCAGGAAAUCGAUACCACCUUGGCUAACACGGUGAAACCCCGUCUCUACUAAAAAUACAAAAAGUUAGCCGGGCGUGGUGGCGGGCGCCUGUAGUCCCAGCUACUCAGGAGGCUGAGGCAGGAGAAUGGCGUGAACCCGGGAGGCGGAGCUUGCAGUGAGCCGAGAUCGCGCCACUGCACUCCAGCCUGGGCGACAGAGUGAGGCUCCGUCUCAAAAAAAAAAAAAUAAAAAUAAAAAUAAAAAAUUAGUAGCUAAAUCUCAAGAUUGUUGUGUGUUAAUUAACCUCACCAUCUGACAUUUCAGCUUUGGAGAGAAAGGGCAAGAAGUUUUCUAGACAUUACACCAUGAAGGCUUAACUACAUUGUUAUUAUUUUAUAUUUUAACCUUUAAAUAACAAAAUCAAUUAAUUUUUACUUGGUAAGGUGGAGGUUGACCAGACAAUAUUUGUAGUGCCUGCAGUUUGACAUCAUUUGAGUACACACAUACUCUACUCAAGAUACCUGCUACCUAAGGUUCUUCAACUUGAAAUCUUUUUAAAAUUGUAAAAUGGUUAUUAUUAUUAUUUUUAAACUUGGUUUAAUAAGUGGCUGAGAUACUUAGCAAUUUGUGAAUAUAUUCUCAUGUGAAUAAUGAAUUCUAUAAAGCAAUUAGAAGCCAGGUACAGUGGCCUGUAAUCCCAGCACUUUGGGAGGCCGGAGCAGAAGGAUUGUUUGAGGCCAGGAAUUUGAGACCAACCUGGACAACAUAGUGAGACCCCCAUAUCUACAAAAGAAAAUUAGGCAGGCAUGGUGGUGCAUACACGUACUCUGAGUUACUUGGGAGGUUAAGACAGGAGAAUCGCUUGAACCCAAGAGUUUGAGGUUACAGUGAGCUGUGAUUGCAUCACUGCAUUCCAGCCUGGAUGACAGAGCAAGACCCCAUCUCAGCAACAAUAACAACAAAAAUAAUGCCAUUAGAAAAACCAGUCCAUUCUCUAAAAUAGGUUCACAAUUCUGCCUGUCUUGCUUAAGGCAUUAAAUUUCAUGCAAACACUUCAUUUGUAAAUUAUACAAAGGAAAACUUUAGCUUCACUUUAGUGGAAUCACCAUUUUCAGGUUGGAACUCAAAUUAUCAAGGCUUUGUUUUC